GGUGUGAGAACUUUGGCCUUUGCUCAGAGCACAGGGCUGAUGUAAUUUGUUUUGAAAGAUUACUCCUGCUCCUAUGUUGAAGGUCAGGAGCUGAAACAGAAGACCAGUAGAAGGUUCCUGAAGUAUAAUCCUGAUGAGAAAAGGCGGCUUGAACAAGAGUGGUAGUAGAAAUUCAAGUGGUAAAAAGUGAUGCACACCCGAGCUGUACCUCAGAUCUCUGCAAGUGGCCACGAGUAAUAUCAUCCUGUUUUCCCACACUGAGCAACCCAGCAUUAACUAAUCACUGCCAGCGUUUUCGGAACACUGCGCGCUAAUCUGAGAGCCAUCCCGUCUCCUAAUACACAUGCACGCGCGCGCACCUCGGAGAAACCAAGUUAGAGCACGAACACACGGAUGUGCCUGCCUCAUUUGUUCGGUCUCAAAAUCACCCCCCACCCCCGCCCAAGCCCGGACGAACAGCUGGCUCUUCCGAGGUCGGUCGUAACCCUCCAAGGACACCUGCCCUCCGGGGCUCCAAAAGCAGGGGGUCAGGGGCGUGGCAGGGGCGGGUUUGGAUUUCGUGGAGUAACUCAA